UCGGCUGUGCUUAGUCACCCUCAGCCGCAUCCUGUGCUCUGAAGUUUUACUGGUUUAUGAUCUUUGCACCAUCCUAAGAAUAGUGACAGUUCAAAGCAGCAUGACAAAUUGAGAAUCCAUGCCCUGUGGACCUCUUCAUUAUGAGCUGUUGGGGCAGAUGUAGAUAAAGCUCCAGACACACCUCAGUUCCUGAGAGGAGAGUUAUGGCUUCCUGGGAGAGGCAACGCCAUCCCCACGGAGCCCCGAAGAGUUGGACAGCUCCCUAUGGUUAAGAACUCACCAACCUCACCCCAUAGCAGCUCCACCCUAGCCAGCUGUGUCUGCGUGAGCUCACCGGGCUCCGGCAGCAGGGAUCAAAACAACACGUGAACUAGCCGUGACAUGGACAACCAUCAAAACAUGUAACAGAUGACAGCUUUGGUCCAUCACUCGGGUCACAUAUUAGUGACACCUACCUACCCGCACACGAAGAGAGUAUGGCGUCAAACUGCGCUGGCAGCACAUGGAGUCCCGAGUGACACAUGGUGGCAGAGGAAGGUUACAUCAUGUAAAUAAUGUGCUGCCCGGCCAGCCUUUAAUGACAUCACAUUUCGAUUUCACCUCCGUGCUUUAUGCCCCCUCGCACGUUCUCAAACAGCUGUUGCUGCUUUGGGUGCGUAAGCCUCAGAUGACAUCCAAAUUACAUUUAUGUGAGUUGCCACAGACUUUCAUCCGGCCGCUGGUGGUGGAGGGAUGCCGCUGUGAUCAAAUUGCUGAACUUGGUGACCCAGACAGUUGCUGUUGUUGUUUGCUCUUCGACACAGACACCUUAUCCAAAAUGUACUAUGAGUUUGUUUUCAAGCGGGACUUGCCGCAACACGAUAAAAGUAAAUAUAGUUGUCUGCUGCUGUUGCUGUUGCUGACGUCUAUUUUCAUUGAGAGAGGGAAUCGCGGUUUGUGUCAACACUUUUGAUCAUACUUAAGAAUCAUUUAGAUUGUUAAAAUGUUUGAAUAAAAACCAUCAUAAACAAACUGAAUUUGUAAUUUACGAUGUUAGGACUUCCUUAAGGGUUCAAAGGAUUAAUUAAAUCGGUAAUUUUAUUGGGAAACUUUUUUCAAGUGAUGGUUUUUGUGAGAAGAAGGUGGGACAGGAAUAAAAAGAAUACAAAUGAAAUUGCCUGAAUCCAAGUCAGUAAAAUCAAGGUUGAAAGCAUACCGAACUUUUUUCUCCCAUUUUUCUAUUCUCCCUUUUCAUCACCGGAGUCGUGCUUUGCCUUUUUGAUUCCUAUUGAUUCGCCAAGAAUAGCAAGUAUGAA